UCCAAUGGUGUUAUUGACCCACCUCAUAAACAUCAACUUAUAUCAAAAGGAGGUACCAUUGUAACACCAUGCAGUUUUGGCAGUCUUCCCAUAGUGCUUGCUAUUUAUAUCUUUACAGAUAGAUUGAUUAUGCACUACGAUGCUUGACUUCUCAGGCGGGAACCUUCCGAUGCAAUGUGGUGAUUACCAGGGUUUCACAUUUGAAAAAAUGGUGGGCUACCUUCUGUGCAGACUGCCAUCACAUGUCCAUGCCAGCUACAACAUCGCUUACCCAGCCAGAUGUUUAUAUGUGCUCUCGUCGAUCUUGUUCAUGCACUAGCGCUACAAUUGGAUGAGAACAAUUCAAUGUUAUAUCAAUCAAUGGUCAUUUGCUCUCCCUGCUCAUUUCAUCUAUGUUAAUGUUCAGGUACACAUUGUUUGUCCAUCUAUGUUAAUGUCCAUCUACAUUUGUUUCCUUCGGUGGAUCUCCAGCUCAGUUUCCCCUUUCCAGUCAGCGCCGCCUCUAGGGUUUCACCUUCUCACCCUCCUGGUGAGUUUCUUCUGCUUUCGAUCCGCUUGUCUAGGUCGAUGUCCUCGGACGAUGUAUCCAACUUGUUUGCUUCGUGGUCUUGCUUCUCUCUUCUGUUGUUGGUGUGUUCCUUACAUUAUUAGUUUUGUUAGGGAUUGCCUUGAAGAACUUUUGAUUUAUGUCGAUCUAGAGCAACAAUGUAUUGAUUCUUGUCUUGCUAUAGCAUCUGUGAUCUAAUUGCCGCCCUCUUGUUGUUGCUCUUGCUAGAUGUCUUGUCUGGCUCUGUCCGAUCUACGUGCUGGUUGGGACAAACAGACCGUGUGCGUCCGUGUGUCUCGCCUAUGGCAUUACCGUGGUGGUUUAGAGAAUGGACCUGUCAAGCUUCUGCACAUGAUCCUCAUCGACGCUCAUGUGCGAUCCAGGACUCUUUAGAAAUGUAUCGCUUUUGUUUUGUGUUAGUCUAUGUCUGAUGCAGCACGAAACUGUUAUAGGGUAACCAUGGCUAUGCAGUUGUUCCGACAGAUUUUCUUGUCACUUAUAUUGAUAUGCUGCAUGAAGGCGUGGUGUAUGAGUUCAGUCGUUUCAGCGUGAUGUCUUCAUCAUGAACCCGGUCGAUGCGUCGUUGAUGAUCCAAUUUACACAAUUUACAAUUGUGAAGAAUUUUUUCGAUCUGAACGACGUAUUUCCGGAGUGGGCAUUCAACCUGACCCCACUAAAUGAAUUACCCCUUGCAAAUGAUACUCCCCAAGCCUACAUAGGUGACACAUAUUACACUCCUUGUCUCUUCUUAUGAUCUAUGAUAUGAUGUUCGGUGGACACCUCUGUACACUAAAUUAUAGUUUGCGCAUUUACUUGUGUAGAUGUUAUCUGGGUUAUCACGGCGAUUUCUCCUGUGAAAGCCACUCGGGUGCCCAAUACUCUUAGACAAGUAUUCAGGCGCCGUCUGAUCCUCUCUGACAAUAAGUAUGUAAUCUGAUCUGUUAUAUUUGACUGUCGUUCUCUUUUUCCUGUUGUCCAUUUUAUUAAAAAAGCUUAUAUUGAAUCCUCUUCUGCCAUUUUAUUCUCAUCUUACAUUAGUGGCCACGAACUUGGAAUAACCCUUUGGGGUGAGAGUGCUAUUCGAUUUAAUGGAGAGAGUGUGCAUUUCAUGGGUCAAACAGACCCGGCUAUCGUUAUCUUUGUCGGCACCACCGUUUGUAUGUAUGAAGGUGACUAGGAAACAACCCGAUGAAUGUGCUUGCUUGUUUCCCGCUGCCUUCGAUUUAUUUAAUGGUAUUAUUAUUUGUCAUGAGCUAGGGUCCAAGGAAUUAUCUGGUGGAUGUGCUUGCAAAUGAUAUGUUAACCAUGAUAUACCAGAGAUAAACAUAUUUAGGAGCAGGUGAGGGCCACGGUCUAUUCAUACGGCGUUUGUUUUCUCUAUUUUGUACUCAAGUAUUGUAUUCUCUCUGCUUCUUAGGCUCCCAGUCAUCUUCCCUGCCAUUGAGCAUCUUCCUGCACCGUCGAAGAUUAUUCUCCAGGUCCAACAUGCCGAUGUGCAUCCAAUGGUGUUAUUGACCCACCUCAUAAACAUCAACUUAUAUCAAAAGGAGGUACCAUUGUAACACCAUGCAGUUUUGGCAGUCUUCCCAUAGUGCUUGCUAUUUAUAUCUUUACAGAUAGAUUGAUUAUGCACUACGAUGCUUGACUUCUCAGGCGGGAACCUUCCGAUGCAAUGUGGUGAUUACCAGGGUUUCACAUUUGAAAAAAUGGUGGGCUACCUUCUGUGCAGACUGCCAUCACAUGUCCAUGCCAGCUACAACAUCGCUUACCCAGCCAGAUGUUUAUAUGUGCUCUCGUCGAUCUUGUUCAUGCACUAGCGCUACAAUUGGAUGAGAACAAUUCAAUGUUAUAUCAAUCAAUGGUCAUUUGCUCUCCCUGCUCAUUUCAUCUAUGUUAAUGUUCAGGUACACAUUGUUUGUCCAUCUAUGUUAAUGUCCAUCUACAUUUGUUUCCUUCGGUGGAUCUCCAGCUAAGUUUCCCCUUUCCAGUCAGCGCCGCCUCUAGGGUUUCACCUUCUCACCCUCCUGGUGAGUUUCUUCUGCUUUCGAUCCGCUUGUCUAGGUCGAUGUCCUCGGACGAUGUAUCCAACUUGUUUGCUUCGUGGUCUUGCUUCUCUCUUCUGUUGUUGGUGUGUUCCUUACAUUAUUAGUUUUGUUAGGGAUUGCCUUGAAGAACUUUUGAUUUAUGUCGAUCUAGAGCAACAAUGUAUUGAUUCUUGUCUUGCUAUAGCAUCUGUGAUCUAAUUGCCGCCCUCUUGUUGUUGCUCUUGCUAGAUGUCUUGUCUGGCUCUGUCCGAUCUACGUGCUGGUUGGGACAAACAGACAGUGUGCGUCCGUGUGUCUCGCCUAUGGCAUUACCGUGGUGGUUUAGAGAAUGGACCCGUCAAGCUUCUGCACAUGAUCCUCAUCGACGCUCAUGUGUGAUCCAGGACUCUUUAGAAAUGUAUCGCUUUUGUUUUGUGUUAGUCUAUGUCUGAUGCAGCACGAAACUGUUAUAGGGUAACCAUGGCUAUGCAGUUGUUCCGACAGAUUUUCUUGUCACUUAUAUUGAUAUGCUGCAUGAAGGCGUGGUGUAUGAGUUCAGUCGUUUCAGCGUGAUGUCUUCAUCAUGAACCCGGUCGAUGCGUCGUUGAUGAUCCAAUUUACACAAUUUACAAUUGUGAAGAAUUUUUUCGAUCUGAACGACGUAUUUCCGGAGUGGGCAUUCAACCUGACCCCACUAAAUGAAUUACCCCUUGCAAAUGAUACUCCCCAAGCCUACAUAGGUGACACAGAUUACACUCCUUGUCUCUUCUUAUGAUCUAUGAUAUGAUGUUCGGUGGACACCUCUGUACACUAAAUUAUAGUUUGCGCAUUUACUUGUGUAGAUGUUAUCUGGGUUAUCACGGCGAUUUCUCCUGUGAAAGCCACUCGGGUGCCCAAUACUCUUAGACAAGUAUUCAGGCGUCGUCUGAUCCUCUCUGACAAUAAGUAUGUAAUCUGAUCUGUUAUAUUUGACCGUCGUUCUCUUUUUCCUGUUGUCCAUUUUAUUAAAAAAGCUUAUAUUGAAUCCUCUUCUGCCAUUUUAUUCUCAUCUUACAUUAGUGGCCACGAACUUGGAAUAACCCUUUGGGGUGAGAGUGCUAUUCGAUUUAAUGGAGAGAGUGUGCAUUUCAUGGGUCAAACAGACCCGGCUAUCGUUAUCUUUGUCGGCACCACCGUUUGUAUGUAUGAAGGUGACUAGGAAACAACCCGAUGAAUGUGCUUGCUUGUUUCCCGCUGCCUUCGAUUUAUUUAAUGGUAUUAUUAUUUGUCAUGAGCUAGGGUCCAAGGAAUUAUCUGGUGGAUGUGCUUGCAAAUGAUAUGUUAACCAUGAUAUACCAGAGAUAAACAUAUUUAGGAGCAGGUGAGGGCCACGGUCUAUUCAUACGGCGUUUGUUUUCUCUAUUUUGUACUCAAGUAUUGUAUUCUCUCUGCUUCUUAGGCUCCCAGUCAUCUUCCCUGCCAUUGAGCAUCUUCCUGCACCGUCGAAGAUUAUUCUCCAGGUCCAACAUGCCGAUGUGCAUCCAAUGGUGUUAUUGACCCACCUCAUAAACAUCAACUUAUAUCAAAAGGAGGUACCAUUGUAACACCAUGCAGUUUUGGCAGUCUUCCCAUAGUGCUUGCUAUUUAUAUCUUUACAGAUAGAUUGAUUAUGCACUACGAUGCUUGACUUCUCAGGCGGGAACCUUCCGAUGCAAUGUGGUGAUUACCAGGGUUUCACAUUUGAAAAAAUGGUGGGCUACCUUCUGUGCAGACUGCCAUCACAUGUCCAUGCCAGCUACAACAUCGCUUACCCAGCCAGAUGUUUAUAUGUGCUCUCGUUGAUCUUGUUCAUGCACUAGCGCUACAAUUGGAUGAGAACAAUUCAAUGUUAUAUCAAUCAAUGGUCAUUUGCUCUCCCUGCUCAUUUCAUCUAUGUUAAUGUUCAGGUACACAUUGUUUGUCCUUGCGAAAGAUCGAAGUGGAGAGGCUGAAUUUGAAUUGUUUGGCACAAAGGCUCAACAAAUCAUCGAUCGAUCUGCUAGCCAGGUCCUUCGCAACAGCACUCACAUGGCCCUGCUAUUCCCAAUGUUCAUGUAGUGGCCUCAAUGCUAAGGAAAACCCCGCCUGAACUCAGUGGUCUCCUUUCCAUGAGAUGUAAGUUUGUUGUUCGUGCAUCGCCUGAAAGUUUCUUCGGAAGGUGGCCGAUGUUCCAUGUCGAUGCUAUUGAGUCCUUUGAGCCCGUCAAAUCGAACCUCUCUAUGAUAGAUUUGCUUACGCCAUCAUGAAGUGAUGCACGCAAGGAACUUCUUAUGAGAUCAGUGUGGAUGUUCCCUAGAGUUGAUUUUCGGUCUCCUGAGUGAUCUCUAGAUCUUUUGAUAAUGAACCUUUUUAUUAGUAGGAUUGUAAAUAUAUCGGUUCUGUAAACAGUAUUGUAUUAACUAUGACACUAUGGUCUUUUACCUUGGGACUAGGCUGCUGUUGAAAACAUGGUUAAAUAUAAUGUUCAUGUGCGUUUCCUUUCACUUAAAGAUCAGUCUAUUCACUUGACUGUAUG
rnacentral:lncRNA from 1 species